rnacentral:lncRNA from 1 species
UUGAACUUGUCGUUUAAGCUUAGAAUUCCGGUUUGCUCUAAAAUUCGGUUGGAUUUGGCGUUGCACAAUAGAAUACCGAUUCCCUUGAAGUGAUCUACUCAAAUGAUUUAACUUUUGAUUCCGUGGGGGAUGUCGAGUUGUAGACGAUGUCGAUUGAGGUUUUGAGAGUGUCGAUCGAUGUGUAGACAAUGCCAAUUGUUUCUUCUUUUCCUUAUUUG